rnacentral:rRNA from 1 species
GAUGAACGCUAGCGGCAGGCUUAACACAUGCAAGUCGAGGGGCAGCGCGAGAGUAGCAAUACUUUUGGCGGCGACCGGCGGAAGGGUGCGUAACGCGUGAGCAACUUGCCCGUGACAGGGGGAUAACCGGUGGAAACGCCGACUAAUACCCCGUAAUACACUUUAAGACAUCUUUUAGUGUUGAAAGCUUCGGCGGUCACGGAUAGGCUCGCGUGACAUUAGCUAGAUGGCGGGGCAACGGCCCACCAUGGCGACGAUGUCUAGGGGUUCUGAGAGGAAGGUCCCCCACACUGGAACUGAGACACGGUCCAGACUC